AAAAUGGAUUGCAUUAUUCAUUAUCCAUUUUGUCCUAUAGAAAGAAGAUUAGCAUUCUUGCACAAGGAUGACACGCACAAAUCAAGAAAUUGUCCAAAUUUUU